rnacentral:rRNA from 1 species
CGUGGGUAACCUGCCCAAGAGAUCGGGAUAACACCUGGAAACAGAUGCUAAUACCGGAUAACAACAGAUGAUGCCUAUCAACUGUUUAAAAGAUGGUUCUGCUAUCACUCUUGGAUGGACCUGCGGUGCAUUAGCUAGUUGGUAGGGUAACGGCCUACCAAGGCGAUGAUGCAUAGCCGAGUUGAGAGACUGAUCGGCCACAUUGGGACUGAGACACGGCCCAAACUCCUACGGGAGGCAGCGGGC